CUUAACUGUCACUCCUCGCAAUUUGAUUCGUGAAGCCCACACAUCACCGCGCUGUCUUCGCUGCCUUUGGAAGCUGGAGCUCCAGUCGCUCGCACGCUCCCUUUUUCCCUUUAUGACAUCAAGGAGCAAAGGAGCUUUUGUUCCUUUCACAACCGGCAGCUUGCAAAUAAGCAAUCUACUAAGGGACAGUGGCCUGGGUAGAGGCUGUCAGCAAAUGGUCAAAGAAUACUGGAACUGGAAUCUUUCUUCUCUCAUGGAGGACCAAGGCAUUGCCUCUCACACUCCUUCAUCUCUGAGUUUUUAAUUUACCAGCCGCUGGAAAACUUGUCUGACUCACUGUUGAAGACAUCACUUCCGGUUCUGUUGAGUAAGAAGACGUCACUUCCCGCUCCAGAGCCUAGGCUGAUGUCAGUUCCGGCACCUACAACAACAUCAGAAACCAAAUGCAGGAUAUUCCACCUGGGCCCUAUGACAUCACUUCCGGUUCCACCCCAAAAGGCGUUACUUCCGGUUCCAACCCUAGAUGACAUCAUUUCCCUCCUUCCGAAUUUAAAACCACCUUGUCUGUACCAUAACCUCAGAUCUGUUUUGGACUCUUGUCUGUGAAGACCUUUUCUCAACAAAUCUUCAAAUUUUCAGCCACUUUCCACUUAUACAGGAGGCUGACCCAAUGCAUUUUUAUGUGUCAAGGCUUGAUUAUUACCACAUAUUAUUAUUAUUAUUAUGUCAAAAAACAAUAAUCCCAGAUUUUGUUUAGGCAGUGUCAAAUAAUCAGACUUACAAAAACCUGAAAUGAAAACUGAAAGUGACCUGAAGGAUUACUGACUGAUCAAUAUUCAGACUUUAGAAUGAUGCUGAAGUCAAAUGUCAAGGUCUCCAUGUUUGACUCCUGCAGCCCAGCAGUCUUGACACUGUGGUUUUUAGUUCAUUGGUGUUUUGGGGCAGCCUAAGAAAUGCACAUUUGAUUAAACCCUGAUUUUAUAUAUCACUUUUCACACAGACAGUAUCACAAGGCACUUUACAAAGCACCCAGGGACACAACCCAAAGUAGCGUGCUGGCAAACUGACUGAAGGACAGGAGCAGCAAGCAAUGCUAAAAGCUGAGGACUGUUGAUACUGAAGUCUUUUACCUGAAUGGUACGGCAUACCACAUAUAUUAUUAAAAUUAGGCAAAAAAAGAAGUUUAAAGCUCACAGUGUGUGUUUAAGAAUUGUAGUAGCAGAGGGGCAGAUGGCACAGUGACUGCAGAAGAAGGAGAUUCUUCUUCACUGAGCUCUGGACUUUCUCUUCCCUGCUAUAAAUUUAGGUUUUGAGCACAGAUCCAUUAGGCCAAAAUCAAACUCUGCCUAAUGUCUUUUUGUUCAUUAAGUCAACUUAAAAAAAAUUGAUGGAUUUAUUGAAGUCAAAGUGUAUAAAUGAGCUAAGCCCAGCUCUGCUUGCCAGGAUGUACAUCUGCACUGUUUCAAGAGGAUGAGCAAAUCCACUUCAGCUCUGCAUUUGCAGGGCUCUGCUUUAUAUCCCUCAAAGACGAGCAAGCAGACGGUUCUCUUUAUUUCUUCAAAUUGUCAUUUUUUUAAAGGUUCUUUUUUACUCAACUAACCUUCCUUUACUUGUACUGCGCUUAAAAAAAGACUAGACUUUGCUCUCAGACCAUUGGGUAUAAUUAACACAAUUCAUCAGUGGAUCUGUUGUGUUUACAGGCUCAUCCACGACUACCAGACUUCCGUUAAAAACUAUGAAGCUAUUAAAAAUGAGACCUUCAGGGCCUUACCUUUGGGUUAUUUUCAUCAUCA